UACGAAGGGGGCUAGCGUUGCUCGGAAUCACUGGGCGUAAAGGGUGCGUAGGCGGGUCUUUAAGUCAGGGGUGAAAUCCUGUAGCUCAACUCCAGAACUGCCUUUGAUACUGAAGAUCUUGAGUUCGGGAGAGGUGAGUGGAACUGCGAGUGUAGAGGUGAAAUUCGUAGAUAUUCGCAAGAACACCAGUGGCGAAGGCGGCUCACUGGCCCGAUACUGACGCUGAGGCACGGAAGCGUGGGGAGCAAACAGG
rnacentral:rRNA from 1 species